CGGAAGUGGGCGGCGCUCAGGCUGCCUGGGAAAUGUCAGCCUUUUGACUGGGGACGGGUUUUCUUACGGCGGAGCCUGCGGGCCUUCUAGUGAUCGUCACCGCCGUCGCCUCGGAGAGUGGGUCCCAGGUCCUGGACGAUUGCGGCCGACGCGGAGUUUCCCGGUCCUUCCAGACACUGUCUGGCGAGAUCGGACCGUGAGCCCGAUGGGGAGAGCGUGAGGCACUGUGGGGUCGAGGGUCUGAGGCCGAGAGCAAGCGGAGAUCGAGAGGACCACGGAGACUCCGAGCACCCGCCGCCACGGGCCUAACUAAGUUCCCGGUCACGGAGAGGAGGUGGUAGCCCGGCCCGCUGGCCAGAUAUGAUCCAGACCUGCUCAUGAAUGACUUUUGGUUAGUCAGAGUGAACAUUCAAUAAUGAGUGGUGCAGCUUUGGGACUCGAGAUUGUUUUUGUCUUUUUUCUGGCAUUAUUCCUACUUCAUCGAUAUGGAGACUUUAAGAAACAGCAUAGACUUGUAAUUAUUGGAACACUGCUAGCUUGGUAUCUCUGCUUUCUUAUCGUCUUCAUACUGCCUCUGGAUGUUAGUACGACAAUAUACAACCGGUGUAAGCAUGCAGCCGCAAACUCAAGCCCUACCGAGAACAGCAACAUUACAGGAUUCCACGCAACUGCUACCCCAGUUCCAAGCCAACAUCCAUGUUUCAAGCCAUGGAGUUACAUUCCUGAUGGAAUCAUGCCAAUUUUCUGGAGGGUAGUAUAUUGGACAUCACAAUUUUUAACAUGGAUUCUGUUACCUUUUAUGCAGUCCUAUGCAAGAUCAGGAGGGUUUUCCAUCACUGGGAAGAUCAAAACUGCACUGAUUGAGAAUGCAAUCUAUUAUGGCACCUAUUUGCUGAUUUUUGGAGCAUUUUUAAUAUAUGUAGCUGUAAACCCACAUUUGCACUUAGAAUGGAACCAGCUUCAGACAAUUGGAAUAGCUGCAGCAAAUACAUGGGGCCUGUUUCUCCUCGUGUUGUUAUUGGGAUAUGGUUUGGUAGAAAUUCCUCGGUCGUACUGGAAUGGAGCAAAAAGAGGUUAUCUACUUAUGAAGACAUAUUUUAAGGCAGCCAAACUGAUGACAGAAAAAGCAGAUGCAGAAGAGACUUUAGAAGAUGUCAUGGAGGAGGUUCGUAAAGUGAAUGAAAGCAUCAAGUAUAACCACCCAUUGAGAAAAUGCGUUGACACGAUACUUAAAAAGUGCCCUACAGAGUAUCAGGAAAAAAUGGGUAGGAACAUGGAUGAUUAUGAAGAUUUUGAUGAAAAGCAUAAUACCUACCCAAGUGAAAAAAGUCUGGUAAAACUACAUAAACAGGUGAUUUAUUCAGUUCAGAGACACCGUCGAACUCAAGUACAAUGGCAGAUUCUUUUGGAACAAGCAUUUUAUCUCGAAGAUGUAGCAAAAAAUGAAACUAGUGCUACUCGUCAGUUUGUUCACACCUUUCAGUCACCAGAGCCAGAAAAUAAAUUUCUCCAAUAUUUUUAUAAUCCUACAGUUGAAUGGUACUGGGAAUGUCUUUUGAGACCGUGGUUUUAUAGGAUACUUGCUGUGGUUUUGUCCAUCUUCUCUGUGAUUGUUGUGUGGUCAGAAUGCACAUUCUUUAGCACUACACCUGUCUUAUCCCUCUUCGCAGUCUUCAUACAGCUGGCUGAGAAAACAUACAAUUAUAUUUAUAUAGAGAUUGCUUGCUUCCUGAGUAUCUUCUUUCUGAGUAUCUGUGUUUAUUCUACUGUGUUCAGGAUUCGUGUCUUUAACUAUUAUUACUUGGCUUCACAUCACCAGACUGAUGCUUACAGCCUUCUCUUCAGUGGCAUGUUAUUUUGCCGUUUGACUCCUCCUUUAUGUCUUAAUUUCUUGGGUUUGACCCAUAUGGAUUCGUCCAUCUCUCACCAGAAUACUCAGCCAACUGCUUAUACAUCUAUUAUGGGUUCCAUGAAAGUUUUAUCCUUUAUUGCAGAUGGAUUCUACAUAUAUUAUCCUAUGUUGGUGGUUAUUCUCUGCAUUGCUACUUACUUUAGUUUGGGAACGCGUUGUUUGAAUCUGCUUGGUUUCCAGCAGUUCAUGGGAGAUAAUGACAUGACAUCAGACUUGGUUGAUGAAGGAAAAGAAUUAAUCAGACGAGAGAAGAGAAAAAGGCAAAGGCAAGAAGAAGGUGAAAAUCGAAGAAGAGAAUGGAAAGAACGUUAUGGACACAAUAGAGAAGACUCCACUAGAAACAGAAAUGUUCAUGUUGACCCGAAAGAAUCAAACCUCUCAGAUAUUAGUACCAACCGAUCAGCAUCCAAAUAUACCAGGGCUAAUAACAGGACGGAAAGGGACCGAAUAGAGCUCCUCCAAGAUGUAGAACCUUUGGAUUUUAAUGCAGAAACAUUCACUGAUGAUCCUCUUGAAUCUGAACCAGGAAGAUCAUUUCUUUAUCCACCUUUCAGGUAUCAGCCUGGUGGACGAUACCUCUCAAUGUCUCACAGCAGAAUAUUCGAUGAUGUUUAAAGUCUGAAAGAAUUUAUGGAACAACUAACCAAGAUCAACACAUCAGUUCAGUCUUUAUGAACAUAUGUAUGCCCUAGAAUUUACACUGUACUCUUAAUGAAAAGUGUCAAGACAAAAAUGGCACUGAAAGUUAAUCACAUCUCAGUAAUCAUAGUUUAUUGCCUAUUGAUUAGAGUGUCAUCUUUUCUCAUAGGAUUUAUUACCAUUCCUGAAGUGUCUGCCUUAGAAGUACAGGUGUAAUGGAAGGAUUCAGUUCAUGAUAGAAAUCAGUAUAUGUUGAGAAUAUGUAGUUCAGUUUGUUUCAGGUUAAUUUUUUUCAGGAAAGUUGUUUUAAAGGUCCAGGAAAGCCAUAAGUCAUGACUAAAUAACAUCAUACGUCUUAUUGUUGUGAUUUACAUUUUUGCUGUUUCUAAAGAAUAUGUUAAUCCUGUAUUUCCCAAAGAGAUGGAGACCACAAAACCCAUGUCUUAAAACAAGGCUUACUUACCAGACAUAACUGAAUGUAGAAAGCUCUUUUUCACCUCUAUAUGCAAAUUUUUGGGGUUUUUGCAUGUAUAAUUAAGAUGAUACUUCAACUGACAGUGUUAGUAUCUUCAGCAUGUGUACUAUAAUCAGGUGAUGUAUUAUUCUUUCAGUCUUUGGUAGAAACUGGAAAUUAUUUUACGCUUUUGGUAUUGCUUUGUAAAAGAUUUUCAUUUCAGGGAGAAAUGUUCACCUUUAUCAUUUAGCAUAUUGACUUACGUGUUGAUCAUUCCACUCAAGGAAAAUCUGAAGCAUUAAUGGUAAAUAGCAGGUUUUGUCGUGAAACCCAGAUGCUGUAGGAGAAGUAGAAGCAGAAAAAGAGAAGAAAUUAUGCAGUCACUUCUGUAAUUUAUAAUGCCCUAAAAUUGAUAAGAAUAUGUAGGGGAAUGUACUACUUUCCUUUAUUAUUAAAAUUGUUAUGAUUAUAGUAAUUGAAGUAUAUGUAAUACUUCACAAACAAUAUAGCUCCCUUUGUGACUUUUUGUUACUCUCCAAAUGAUUUUUGGUUGUUUAAGUGAUCUAGACUGUUCAACUUUUUAAGCAGAAUUUAUCUUACAGGAUUUUACGGCGUUACCUGACUGGGUAAAUUUGAGUUCAUAAGGUAAUGAUUUAACCCCUGAAGAAUAAAGAGUUUAUUGCUGGAGAACUAAGUUAAUAUUUGUUAAGCCACCUUGUGUAAAAAACUGGAGUACGAACAAAAGUCUUCUUUUGGGGGAAGCUUAUGCAAAACAUUACUGCUAAGUUCAGAUACUGUAAAUGCAGAGUAAUUUCCUGAAGAAUUACUUCUGACAAUUAGCUUUUGAUGUCUUUCUUAUAAAAUAAUAGAUAACUGAUUACACUUUUAAAAUUAUUUUUGUAAAUAAUCGUUAGGUAAGGAUAUUCAGUAAACCAGUAAUUCAAAUAGCCAUUGCAGAAAAUAAUAAUUAAUAAUUUAUUAAUUUCAUGAAUCACCUGUAAGUUGCUAAUUAACUUUUGUUACAUCAAUAGAGCAUUUUUAUAAAAAUCAUUAUUAAAAUAAGACGUAAGGGAUAAGCCUAAUUACUAGAAUUUGCUCUUUCCAAAUGAAUACAGGGCUGUGGAAUAAUUGCAACACAAAAGAGGCCCUCAUUUCACAAGAGUGGUAAGAGCUAAAUUAAAACUUUCAAGGAUUUUCCAUUUAUAAAAAAAAUAGAUUGGAAAAUUAGACAACCCAUACCAUCAAAAAAUGCUGUGAGUUGAUUUGUUGUUUUUUUUUUUUUUUUUAAACAUUUAUUUAUUUUUGAGACAGAGAGAGCAUGAACAGGGGAGGGUCAGAGAAAGAGGGAGACACAGAAUCUGAAACAGGCUCCAGGCUCUGAGCUGUCAGCACAGAGCCCGAUGCGGGGCUCGAACCCACGGACCGUGAGAUCAUGACCUGAGCCGAAGUCGGACGCUUAACUGAGCCACCCAGGCGCCCCAGUUGAUUUGGUUUUGAAUUCUAUUCGAUUAGAGUAUCACUUCUGAAAUUUACACUGGUUGUGUACCCAAAUGAAAUUAAAUGUGGAGAGGAAAGUCGAUUUGUGUUUUUUUUUUUAAGUAUACUUCAGCAUACGAAUGAAAGAAGUUAAUUUAUGUGCAAUAACAAACCUCAUUUUUUAUCUUGUAAUAGAUUCAGGGAAUGUUCUUGGUUGUGUAUUGAUUACCAUCUUAAAGGAAAAACAAACUCUCCCUUAUUAUAAUUUACACUGUUCAGUAGUGUUGAGUUUUGUACUUGUGAUUUGAAUGGACCAUGACUGAAAAUCAUAAGGAUAAGUGUAUUUGCCCUAAAAAGGCAAAACAUGUCCCUGAAAGAUCUUAACAUACUUGAAUCUCUGAAGUGUAAUGGAUCACAUUACAUUAAAUUCUAAAUGUUGAGAAGUAAAUAGAUUUAGAGUUUUAUCUUUCCUUUCUUUACUUCCUCCCUUCCUCAUUCCUUUUUUACCUGAGGCCUCUCUUUAUAGUGUGAUUUUUAAUGUACUGACAGAUUUUUCUUCUGUUUUGUGUACACAGUUGUUUCUGAUGAUCUGUACACUCAAAAGGAACUAGUUCUGAUGCCAGAUCCCACUACUUGAAUAGCAAUGUUGCACCUAAAGUAGUGAAACAGAUUUUUCUAGACAACUAAGCAGCAUCUGAAUGUGAAUGUGAUGUAAGCUGGCUUGGUGUGUUGUCUUUAGGUCACUAAGGAGGGCACUUCAUUAAAAUGACUUAUUUUCAGUGUAAUGUUUUGGCAUAAAAAUGGAUUUCCAAAACCAGUGAUUGUUAAAAACAAAACAAAACCCCCAAAAAGAUUUAGAGCCUUGAGGUAUCUUUUUAUGAAAAGAAACUCAUAAAUAACCUACAUCGUUGGCAAAGUUUUCAUUAGAAGAGGUUGGAACACUACAUGAGGGUUUACAGGAGGCCUUCUAAAAUAUGAAUUCCUUCGAUGUAGGGUACUUCUUCCCAAAGGACUUUUUUCCUGCUCAGAGAGCUGGAAGACCAAGGCGUGUCAUCCCCUAUCCCAAUUCCUGAGGACCAGGUCCUGUGAUCAUCUCCCCCAGCAGAGCAGGCACGAGCCUUGCCCCGUCUGAGUCCCAUCAGUGGGAGCAUGACCUCACCUCUAAUUCCUUUCACGCUCAGCCUGGUCUUCCUAAAAUUUUAUUGUCAAAAGAUUUGUCUGUUGAGGUUGAUUGAAACCUUGCUGUACUUUUUAAUUUGUUGAUAAAGCAAGAAUAUUGGCCUGUUCCUCUUCUCAUUGAUAUUCUAAGAGACAUUUGUUUUUAACACACUCCCUGGGGAUAAUCAACUUUUUUUUUUUUUUCCUCCUGAAAAUCUUUUCCUUUUGUGGUUAUCUUGAUCUCCCGUCAUUCUCUAAAAUAUUUUUUCUGUACUUAGUGCAAAAGAGUAGAAAGAGUGGUUUACUAUGGCAGACAUAAUGUAAGGGAAAGUCAUAAUUUAUUAAUCUGACUAUACAACACAAUUUUGAAUUGAUAUUAUUGAUAAAAAUCGUAUCAACCUAGUCACUUAGAGCUGUUUGUCUCAAAAGAGUGCUGGCUAGCAUCUUCCUGACUUAGUACACCAAGUUGUAGGGGAGAGACUGUGUAUUUAUUUUAUUAAAAGCAAUCCAAUGGAUUUGUUUUUGUCCAUACUUUAAAAACAGCUUGAAGGAUUUUUCUCAUCUUAGAAGGUAGAGAACAUGUGGACGUGUCUUUUAAAUUACUGUAAUCUAAUAUAUAUUUAUAAAUUAUAUAGCAUUGAAACAAGAGCUCUAAUAUUGAUGUUGUUACUUUCUGAUAUUUAAUUUUUAUAAAAUGUUUUUCUAGUAACUAAUUGUAGUGCUUUUAAGUAGUUUAAAAAUCUUUCUCAAAUAAGUUCUACCCACAUCCUGUUUACUUAGGGCAGUAUUCUGAAGUUCAGUCCAGUGUGAAUUUGAAAUAUUCCUUCAUCCCUUCAGUGUCUUUUUAUAAUUAACAGUACCCAAGCAAAGUAUACCAAAAGCUCAAUUCCUGUGUUGCAUUAAUAAAGUGCUUGUUCUUUAAUUCAGUGGGUUAGGGGAAAUGGAAGAUAGGUUUUUCUCAAGUGUGCAUCUGAUAAUUUUUCUAAAUGUUCAUUAUGUUGAUUUUUGGUGCAUGAUGCCAAAUUUAUCUUUAAUCAGCCAUUACUACCUGAUAUGUAAUGACAAAUGUUUUCCUAUCUGACCAAUGGGUUGUGGAUUUAACUAUUUUUCUCUGCAUAUUCUCACUACAUUUUCAAAUAUGUAUGUGGAAAAAGCUACAAAGUGCUACCUAUACGUGAGUUAGCAUCUUUGGCCUUAUCUGUGCAUAAUGUUCUCUCAGUUUGGUUUUGACAAACUUGUGGACUUGCAGUUGCUUUGUAGUAUUUUAACUUAUUGUGAUGUAAUGAAUUUUUUGAAAUGUUUAUUUGAUUAGCUAUUAAAAUAUAGGAAAUUAUGUAGCUUUGCAUGAAAUAAAGUACAUUUCUACAAGUUCCUAAGAA